CAAUCCACCAAAGCAGUCCUGGACUCUUGGUGACCUUGGCUCAUCAUCUUUCAGUGACUGUGCAGUCAUGAGUAACUGAUGUGGGCACACGUGCCUAAGGACAUUGGACAUGUCUGCCCAGCACCCUCUUAAGUCAACACUCUCCCUGAAACUGUUCUUGGUGACUCAGGAAGGCAAAAGAUUUAGUAUUGCAAUCAGGAAAAAAUAAAUUCCUCCUCUGUUGCAUCUAUUUGGACACGCUGGACAGGAUGACCUGGGAGGUAAUAGCAACCUUUCCUACAGUUCAUGUUAGUAUAAACAGUAGGUGCAUUUGAAGGACUCCUCCAUAUACACAUUCUCAAAGGUAAAUCUAAGUGAGGCUUAGACAAACAGAAGGCAGUGGCUAUGCUUCCUUUGAGAUUGAAAGACCACCCUGGUCUCAAACAGGAGGUCAAGUUCUAUCACUUGUCCACUGAUUGGUGUCUCUGUUUGGGGUGAGGAAUGGUAAUUUGCAAGAUAGCAGCAGCUUGAUGUUGGCAAUUCUGUUGAGGAAAAAUAUUAGCUAAACUAAUAUUUUAGUGUUAUAUUUUGUGUUUGUAAUAUUUUGUGUUUCUUUUUGAGCAAUAUCAUCCUCUGCUCUAAAGAAAAAUGAUGAGUAUAAGGGAGAGUUCAGAAAUAUCUCAGAGCCAUGGUGAAAGUGAAACACAAAUGUACUUGCAUUUGAGAACCAAAGACCUGGUUUGUUAGCCUUAUUUUGAAUUUCUCUGUGAUAUGGGGCACUCACUAUACCUAGUUGCAACUGAAUACAGAUACUGACAAAGACCACUGGGAGAAGAAGCCAAGACUUUUUAUGUUGAAUAUGUUAUAUGGCUUAAUAAGAGUGAAUGGGGAUUUGCACCAGCAGGUAUUACUUGUGGUCUAACAAGACAGUUUCCCUAAGAAACUGAAAUUUAUUGAAACAGGCUCUGAAUAAUUUCUUAUUUUCUGUGUUUCUCAGAUAUCUUAUCCCUUUCCUUUUUAGCAGCCAUGAUUAUUCUACAGAAAAUAAUUGACAACAUAUACCAAAUACUUUUAGCUCCAUUAUGAGGAGUCAACAGCAGAUUUAAUCACAAACCAGAGUACUAAUUGUAAGACUAAUUUUUACAUAAAUGCUGGAUCUUCCAUAAGAAUAAGCUACUCAUUCUUAUGUUUACUUCUACUUGGGUGAGAGAGGAAAAAGUAAGUUUCAAGGUCUUUGGAGGAGGGAUGCAGGGACAGAAUAAUGAAAGAUAAGUGCAUAGUAGUGUAUUCCUGAACGUGAGUUCAAGAGCAAAUGCCUCCUCUUUGGGAAAAGCUCCUACUUGGGAGGGUUUUAAUAUCUUGUGGUUUCAAUCUCUCACAUUUUACUGAACUAUGUCCUUAUUAGGGUCUCAAAUUUCCCGGGCACCACAAGGCUACCCCGGCUCAGAUUUAAUCAGCAGCAGACAUCCAUCAAGAGGACGGAAGGGCCAUCCCUGCCCCCUCGGAGCCCUCCCAUUAAUGAAAUAUUCACCAAGAAAACAGUGCCAGAAUGCAAACAAACAGUAUUGACCAUAUCCUUGCCCCACUUCUAACCUCCUGUGAUCCUUGGCUUCUGUUCAGUAAUUGUAUUUAUUUUGAUUUCAUUAAAAAAUGUGAGAGAUGGAAUUUCACUUAGGCCUGAAGUUCAAAGAUUUAUAGCCCAGAUAUACCAGAGAGAAUUGUCUCAGAGUCUGUAUCAGUUUGGGGUUAGAUGCCCUCAUCUACUUGGGAUGUUUUCCAAAUGUUCCUCGUACUUUCUCAGCAAUUUACAAACAAUUUAGAAGAUACUAUCACCAUCAUCUUUCUCAUCUGAUCUCAAUAAUUGUGCAUUAGGUGUGGUCAGUCUCGUUUUACAAAUCUCAUCUUCUCAUUUCUCCAGAUUUGUGGGAUUAAAGGUAAAAUGCUUCAGACAUAUCACAGAUUGAAAUAAGCAAUUUAUUCCAUUUAUUGACAUCCACAUGAUCCAAGUGCCAGGCCCACAAUGUAAAGAUGAGCCAUAGUCCCAGCAGUGUCAUGGAUAUUACAUGUGUCAGGGAACACAUUCAAUUUUCACUAGUACAAUUUAAAUCAUGAGUCCAAUUAGAAAAUAAUUCACAAGUCUGUGUCACUGGACAUUGUUUAUUUAUUUACUUAUUUUGGUCUUUUUGUCUUUUUUUAGGGCUGCACCCGUGGCAUAUGGAAGUUCCCAGGCUAAGGGGGUUGAAUCGGAGCUGUAGCCACCGGCCUACACCAGAGCCACAGCAACGCGGGAUCCGAGCCGCGUCUGCAACCUAUACCACAGCUCAUGGCAACGCCGGAUCGUUAACCCACUGAGCAAGGGCAGGGACCGAACCCGCAACCUCAUGGUUCCUGGUCGGAUUCGUUAACCACUGCGCCACGACGGGAACUCCUAUUCCAAACUUCUAAAGAGAGAUGAGAAAACUUGAAGUUUGGAAGUUUAGUACAUAACCAAAAUGGAGGAGAAUCACGAUUACAUGACCAAGAGCCCCUUUUUAGCUUAGUGAUCAGCAGAUCUGACUGAUAAGUCAAGAGCAUAGGACAGAAAAGCUGAGAUGAGACACUAAGCAUAUCCUCCAGGAACAGGAGCAAGUCAUGUGCUAUGCAGAGACAUGGAUUGAAGACGCCGAGUUUAGAGAACAUAUAUUGAAAAUGAGGACAUAUGGAAAGGAAGCCAUGUGCACCCACAAAGCUGGUCAAGUUCAGUGAAGUCAGUAUUUCAAGUUUGUAUGUGUGUGUCUUGACAGAGUGCCUCAGCUUCCAACAGAGUGCCUGGUGCAUAGGGGCACUUGGUAGCAUUUGCCAGGAGAUAAUACACUGCAGAUGAGUUCCAGGGCAACUGAAUUGCUGGGGCAUCUAGGUCAGAGUGUUUUCUCAAUAAAAGUAGGGUAUUUAAUUUUCAAGUCUUUCUUCAUUAUGGAAGUCUGACUGACACAUUGCAUGAUAAUCAUACAAUAUAACAGCUGUUAUUAUAAUGCUCUUCUUCAGUGUUUUUUUGCCUUUUCUUUUCAUCAUGAAUUGAAAGCAAAAUCCCUAAAGGUAACCUCAGUGAUUUUUUUCCUCUUUCUCUCCUUUGAUUCAUGCUGAGAACAGCUCUGACGUUCAUUGUGGAGGGGAUUGGUUCCCAUUUCCUCUUCCUAUUUUCAUCAGAUGAGGACAAUUUUUAAAGUCCUUAAUUGUUGAGAGUGGGCAUGGUAUUAGCACCAAUUUAUGACUUUAUCCUAAUGCGUCCCAUAUUUAGAGUGACAGACUCUGUGAGAUUUAAGAUUGUGAGACAUAAACAAGGGUGCCAGAGUUAUUUAUGGAGAUGGUCAAUGUCAUCACCCCAUGAUGCCUUCAAAAUUGAACUCACAGCUUUCAGCUAUGAUGAAAUGGCCUCAUUGUUUCUUUCUCUCUUGACGUAUCUGACAAUUCUUCCAUCAUCCUUCUCAUAUAAGAGCUUUAUAAUAAUUAAAUAGAUGCAAGAGCUGACACUUUAGGGGAAAAAUCAACCACAAUUAUAUGGAUAUACUUGGCAAGUAUAAAUGAAGGGAAAAAAAAA
rnacentral:lncRNA from 9 species